AUACCGGAAGACGUGAGAGAUCACGUUGUCCCUUGUGGACUGGUAUACAGGUGCUGCAUGGCUGUCGUCAGCUCGUGCUGUGAAGUGUUGGGUUAAGUACCCGCAACGAGCGCAACCCUGUUUCUAGUUACCAGCACGUAAUGGUGGGGACUCUAGAGAGACUGCCGGUGACAAACCGGAGGAAGGUGGGGAUGACGUCAAGUCAUCAUGGCCCUUAUGUCCUGGGCUACACACGUGCUACAAUGGCCGGUACAGAGCGCAGCGAUACCGCGAGGUGGAGCAAAUCGCAGAAAGCCGGUCUCAGUACGGAUUGGAGUCUGAAACCCGACUUCAUGAAGGUGGAAUCGCUAGUAAUCGCGCAUCAGCAUGGCGCGGUGAAUACGUUCCCGGGCCUU
rnacentral:rRNA from 1 species